rnacentral:tRNA from 1 species
GGGGCGGUAGCUCAGUUGGUUAGAGCCGCGGACUCAUAAUCCGUUGGUCGCGGGUCUAACCAACUGAGCUACCGCCCCC